rnacentral:rRNA from 1 species
GACGAACUCUGGCGGCGUGCUUAACACAUGCAAGUCGAACGGUAAGGCUCCAGCUUGCUGGGGUACACGAGUGGCGAACGGGUGAGUAACACGUGGGUGACCUGCCCUGCACUUCGGGAUAAGCCUGGGAAACUGGGUCUAAUACCGGAUAGGACCGCACCGUGAGGGUGUGGUGGAAAGUUUUUUCGGUGUGGGAUGGGCCCGCGGCCUAUCAGCUUGUUGGUGGGGUAAUGGCCUACCAAGGCGGCGACGGGUAGCCGGCCUGAGAGGGUGGACGGCCACAUUGGGACUGAGACACGGCCCAGACUCCUACGGGAGGCAGCAGUGGGGAAUAUUGCACAAUGGGCGGAAGCCUGAUGCAGCGACGCCGCGUGGGGGAUGACGGCCUUCGGGUUGUAAACUCCUUUCACCAUCGACGAAGGGUUUCUGACGGUAGAUGGAGAAGAAGCACCGGCUAACUACGUGCCAGCAGCCGCGGUAAUACGUAGGGUGCGAGCGUUGUCCGGAAUUACUGGGCGUAAAGAGCUCGUAGGUGGUUUGUCGCGUCGUCUGUGAAAUUCCGGGGCUUAACUCCGGGCGUGCAGGCGAUACGGGCAUAACUUGAGUACUGUAGGGGAGACUGGAAUUCCUGGUGUAGCGGUGAAAUGCGCAGAUAUCAGGAGGAACACCGGUGGCGAAGGCGGGUCUCUGGGCAGUAACUGACGCUGAGGAGCGAAAGCAUGGGGAGCGAACAGGAUUAGAUACCCUGGUAGUCCAUGCCGUAAACGGUGGGCGCUAGGUGUGGGUUUCCUUCCACGGGAUCCGUGCCGUAGCUAACGCAUUAAGCGCCCCGCCUGGGGAGUACGGCCGCAAGGCUAAAACUCAAAGGAAUUGACGGGGGCCCGCACAAGCGGCGGAGCAUGUGGAUUAAUUCGAUGCAACGCGAAGAACCUUACCUGGGCUUGACAUAUACAGGAUCGCGCCAGAGAUGGUGUUUCCCUUGUGGCUUGUAUACAGGUGGUGCAUGGUUGUCGUCAGCUCGUGUCGUGAGAUGUUGGGUUAAGUCCCGCAACGAGCGCAACCCUUGUCUUAUGUUGCCAGCACGUUGUGGUGGGGACUCGUAAGAAACUGCCGGGGUUAACUCGGAGGAAGGUGGGGAUGACGUCAAAUCAUCAUGCCCCUUAUGUCCAGGGCUUCACACAUGCUACAAUGGUCGGUACAGUGGGUUGCCAGUCCGUGAGGGCGAGCUAAUCCUGCAAAGCCGGUCUCAGUUCGGAUCGGGGUCUGCAACUCGACCCCGUGAAGUCGGAGUCGCUAGUAAUCGCAGAUCAGCAACGCUGCGGUGAAUACGUUCCCGGGCCU